AAAUUGAAGAGUUUGAUCAUGGCUCAGAUUGAACGCUGGCGGCAGGCCUAACACAUGCAAGUCGAACGGUAGCACAGAGAGCUUGCUCUCGGGUGACGAGUGGCGGACGGGUGAGUAAUGUCUGGGAAACUGCCCGAUGGAGGGGGAUAACUACUGGAAACGGUAGCUAAUACCGCAUAACGUCGCAAGACCAAAGUGGGGGACCUUCGGGCCUCACACCAUCGGAUGUGCCCAGAUGGGAUUAGCUAGUAGGUGGGGUAACGGCUCACCUAGGCGACGAUCCCUAGCUGGUCUGAGAGGAUGACCAGCCACACUGGAACUGAGACACGGUCCAGACUCCUACGGGAGGCAGCAGUGGGGAAUAUUGCACAAUGGGCGCAAGCCUGAUGCAGCCAUGCCGCGUGUAUGAAGAAGGCCUUCGGGUUGUAAAGUACUUUCAGCGAGGAGGAAGGCGUUGUGGUUAAUAACCACAGCGAUUGACGUUACUCGCAGAAGAAGCACCGGCUAACUCCGUGCCAGCAGCCGCGGUAAUACGGAGGGUGCAAGCGUUAAUCGGAAUUACUGGGCGUAAAGCGCACGCAGGCGGU
rnacentral:rRNA from 1 species